CAGCAGCCGCGGUAAUACGUAGGUGGCAAGCGUUGUCCGGAAUUAUUGGGCGUAAAGCGCGCGCAGGCGGUUUCUUAAGUCUGAUGUGAAAGCCCCCGGCUUAACCGGGGAGGGUCAUUGGAAACUGGGAGACUUAGAGUGCAGAAGAGGAGAGUGGAAUUCCAUGUGUAGCGGUGAAAUGCGUAGAUAUAUGGAGGAACACCAGUGGCGAAGGCGACUCUCUGGUCUGUAACUGACGCUGAGGCGCGAAAGCGUGGGGAGCAAACAGGAUUAGAUACCCCUGUAGUCCCUGUCUCUUAUA
rnacentral:rRNA from 1 species